rnacentral:rRNA from 1 species
UGCAUCGAUGAAGAUUGCAUCGAAUGAGAACGCAGCGAAACGCGAUAGGUAAUGUGAAUUGCAGAAUUCCGUGAAUCAUCGAAUCUUUGAACGCACCUUGCGCUCUAUGGCAAUCCGUAGAGCAUGCCUGUUUGAGUGCCAUGAAAUCUCCCACCCCAAGCGGUUUUUAAAUGAAACGGCUUGGCGGAUGGGGUCUGGAUGGGUGCCUCUGCCUGCGCUACCUAGCACAGGCUCGCCCGAAAUGCAUGAGCGCCUUGAGACACUUUGCAUCCGCCUCUCUGUUUGGGAGGAGGCGGCCAAGCAGUGUUUUUCUCCUGGCAUGGCAUGAUACGUCAUUUGCUAUGUCGCCUAAAGGAGGAAUGUUUGGUUGUGUCUGCGUGUGCUUCGAACUUGCCUCUGUGGCACAUCCCAAUUUCACUUCUGGUCUCAAAUCAGGUAGGAUCACCCGCUGAACUUAAGCAUAUCAAUAAUCGGAGGAAAAUAAGCGGAGGAA